rnacentral:rRNA from 1 species
AACGAACGCUGGCGGCAGGCUUAACACAUGCAAGUCGAACGGACGUAGCAAUACGUUAGUGGCAGACGGGUGAGUAACGCGUGGGAAUAUGCCCUUUAGUUCGGAAUAACACAGAGAAAUUUGUGCUAAUACCGGAUAAUCCCGAGAGGGGAAAGAUUUAUCGCUGAAGGAGUAGCCCGCGUCUGAUUAGCUAGUUGGUGAGGUAAUGGCUCACCAAGGCGACGAUCAGUAGCUGGUCUGAGAGGAUGAUCAGCCACACUGGGACUGAGACACGGCCCAGACUCCUACGGGAGGCAGCAGUGGGGAAUAUUGGACAAUGGGGGCAACCCUGAUCCAGCCAUGCCGCGUGAGUGAUGAAGGCCUUAGGGUUGUAAAACUCUUUUGUCCGGGAAGAUAAUGACUGUACCGGAAGAAUAAGCCCCGGCUAACUUCGUGCCAGCAGCCGCCGUAA